rnacentral:rRNA from 1 species
CCUACGGGGGGCAGCAGUGGGGGAUAUUGCACAAUGGGGGGAACCCUGAUGCAGCGACGCCGCGUGGGUGAAGAAGCGCCUCGGCGCGUAAAGCCCUGUCAGCAGGGAAGAAAAUGACGGUACCUGAAGAAGAAGCCCCGGCUAACUACGUGCCAGCAGCCGCGGUAAUACGUAGGGGGCAAGCGUUAUCCGGAUUUACUGGGUGUAAAGGGGGCGCAGACGGCGAUGCAAGCCAGAAGUGAAAGCCCGGGGCACAACCCCGGGACUGCUCUUGGAACUGCGUGGCUGGAGUGCAGGAGGGGCAGGCGGAAUUCCUGGUGUAGCGGUGAAAUGCAUAGAUAUCAGGAGGAACACCGGUGGCGAAGGCGGCCUGCUGGACUGCAACUGACGUUGAGGCCCGAAAGCGUGGGGAGCAAACAGGAUUAGAUACCCUAGUAGUC